rnacentral:rRNA from 1 species
CUGCUGCCUUCCGUAGGAGUUUGGUCCGUGUCUCAGUACCAAUGUGGGGGGUUGACCUCUCAGUCCCCCUAUGUAUCGUCGCCUUGGUGAGCCGUUACCUCACCAACUAGCUAAUACAACGCAUGUCCAUCUCUGACCACCUGAGUUUUCAACUACCGAAGAUGCCUCCGGUGAUGUUAUGGGGUAUUAGUACCAAUUUCUCGAUGUUAUCCCCCUGUCAAAGGUAGGUUACAUACGCGUUACGCACCCGUCCGCCGGUCGCCGG